rnacentral:rRNA from 1 species
GACGAACGCUGGCGGCGUGCCUAAUACAUGCAAGUAGAACGCUGAAGGAGGAGCUUGCUUCUCUGGAUGAGUUGCGAACGGGUGAGUAACGCGUAGGUAACCUGCCUGGCAGCGGGGGAUAACUAUUGGAAACGAUAGCUAAUACCGCAUAAUAUUGACUCUUGCAUGAUAGUCAGUUGAAAGGUGCAACUGCACCACUACCAGAUGGACCUGCGUUGUAUUAGCUAGUUGGUGGGGUAACGGCUCACCAAGGCGACGAACCAUAGCCGACCUGAGAGGGUGUCGGCCCACCUGGGAACUGGGCCCGGCCCCAGAUUCCUCCGGGAGGCAGCAGAGGGGAAUUUUGGACAAUGGGCGAAGUCUGACCGAGCAAAGCCGCGUGAGUGAAGAAGGGUUUCGGAUCGUAAAGCUCUGUUGUAAGAGAAGAACGAGUGUGAGAGUGGAAAGCUCACACUGUGACGGUAUCUUACCAGAAAGGGACGGCUAACUACGUG